rnacentral:rRNA from 1 species
GGACGGGGCCCGCACAAGCGGUGGAGCAUGUGGUUUAAUUCGAAGACAACGACGAAGAACCUUACCAGGUCUUGACAUCCCGAUGCUAUUUCUAGAGAUAGAAAGUUACUUCGGUACAUCGGUGACAGGUGGUGCAUGGUUGUCGUCAGCUCGUGUCGUGAGAUGUUGGGUUAAGUCCCGCAACGAGCGCAACCCUUGUCAUUAGUUGCCAUCAUUUAGUUGGGCACUCUAAUGAGACUGCCGGUGACAAACCGGAGGAAGGUGGGGAUGACGUCAAGUCCUCAUGGCCCUUAUGGGUAGGGCUUCACACGUCAUACAAUGGUCAGUACAGAGGGUUGCCAAGCCGCGAGGUGGAGCCAAUCCCUUAAAGCCGAUCGUAGUCCGGAUCGUAGUCUGCAACUCGACUACGUGAAGUCGGAAUCGCUAGUAAUCGCAGAUCAGCAUGCUGCGGUGAAUACGUUCCCGGGCCUU